rnacentral:tRNA from 2 species
GCUGGUGUGGUGGAACGGUAUACACGUUGGACUUAAAAUCCAAUGCCUUCUGGGCUUGUGGGUUCGAAUCCCACCUCCAGCA